AACAAUACCAUUCCUAGUUAAAGUCAUUAAAUUAUUAAUGGUGGCUGUGUUAUUAAAGGUUCUUUUACAACUCUUCAACAGCAAAUGACAAAAUUUUAUAAAACA